GAAGCCUACGGGGGGCAGCAGUGGGGGAUAUUGCACAAUGGGGGGAACCCUGAUGCAGCGACGCCGCGUGGGUGAAGGAGCGUUUCGGCGCGUAAAUCCCUAUCGGCAGGGAAGAAGAUGACGGUACCUGACCAAGAAGCCCCGGCUAACUACGUGCCAGCAGCCGCGGUAAUACGUAGGUGGCGAGCGUUGUCCGGAAUUACUGGGUGUAAAGGGAGCGUAGGCGGGAGAGCAAGUCGACUGUGAAAUCUAUGGGCUUAACCCAUAGCUGCGAUCGAAAAUGUUCAUCUUGAGUGAAGUAGGGG
rnacentral:rRNA from 1 species